AUGGCGGAGUGGAAGGAGGUCCACCAGCGCUCCCCUCCACAGAUGCAGGCUCGGAGUCAGGCCAGCUGGACGGCGCCGGAGGUAGGGUGGGUGAAAGCCAACUCCGACAGGGCGCUGUCUACACAAAGGACGAGGGGAGGAGCUGGUGUUGUUCUCCGUGACCACAACGGGGGCUUCCUGGCUGCUGCAUGCCAUUCAAUCAAGAAUGUGGCGAGCCCGGAGGUGGCUGAGGCCCUUGCGUGCAAGCGGGCGAUCCAGGUGGCAGCUGAAAUGAACGUGCAACAAUUGCAUCUGGAGCUGGACAAUGCGGGCGUGGCGCGAGCUAUCUCCAGUGAGGAGAGGGAUCUGUCCAUGGUUGGUCCUCUAGUGCAGGAGAUCAAGAAUCUGCUCCAAGUGUUCGCGGACGUGAAGGUGUCGUGGAGGGGCCGUGAAGCAAAUCGGGUCGCCGACAAGUUAGCUAAGGUAGGGUUAGGUGAUGAUCUUUGCAAAGUGUGGUUUUCUGUUCCUCUACGGUUCAUUCUGGAGUUCUUGUCGGACGACAUUCCUAGCUUCGGUUAA
rnacentral:rRNA from 1 species